rnacentral:rRNA from 1 species
CGAAACCAACAGGGAUUGCCUCAGUAACGGCGAGUGAAGCGGCAAAAGCUCAAAUUUGAAACCCUCGGGAUUGUAAUUUGAAGAUUUGGCAUUGGAGAAAGCUAACCCAAGUUGCUUGGAAUAGUACGUCAUAGAGGGUGACAACCCCGUCUGGCUAACCGUUCUCCAUGUAUUGCCUUAUCAAAGAGUCGAGUUGUUUGGGAAUGCAGCUCAAAGUGGGUGGUAAACUCCAUCUAAAGCUAAAUACUGGUGAGAGACCGAUAGCGAACAAGUACUGUGAAGGAAAGGUGAAAAGAACUUUGAAAAGAGAGUGAAAUAGUAUGUGAAAUUGUUGAUAGGGAAGGAAAUGAGUGGAGAGUGGCCGAGGUUUCAGCCGCCCCUCGUGGGCGGUGUACUGCCGACGCCGAGUCAUCGAUAGCGAGACGAGGGUUACAAAUGGGAGCGCCUUCGGGCGUUCUCCCCUAACCCUCCACACUGCC